rnacentral:snRNA from 1 species
GGAUGUGAGGGCGAUCUGGCUGCGACAUCUGUCACUCCAUUGAUCACCAUGGUUGAUUUGGCUGAUCUGGGUGGCUAGCGGGGUGUCCCCUUCCUUUCUCACCGCUCCAUGUGCGUCCCUCCUGAAGCUGCGUGCUCAGUCGAAGAGGACCAUUCUUCGGUCAAGGGUAUACAGUAGCUGUGCUCCCCUACUAGAACCUCCAAACAAGCUCUCAAGAUUUAUUUAAGUAACUGUAAUUUUAACCUCCCCUCCCUUACCUAAUUUAUGAGGAGUCAUACAAUU